GAUGAACGCUAGCGGCGGGCCUAAUACAUGCAAGUCUAACGGGAAAGGUGGCAACACCUUGAGAGUGGCGUACGGGUGCGUAACGCGUAUACAACCUGCCUGUUACACGGGGAUAGCCUUGCGAAAGCGAGAUUAAUACCCGAUGGUACUAUUGAGCGGCAUCGCUUGGUAGUUAAAGCUGAGGCGGUAACAGAGGGGUAUGCGUCCCAUUAGCUAGUUGGUAGUGUAACGGACUACCAAGGCGACGAUGGGUAGGGGUUCUGAGAGGAUGAUCCCCCACACUGGUACUGAGAUACGGACCAGACUCCUACGGGAGGCAGCAGUAGGGAAUAUUGGGCAAUGGACGGAAGUCUGACCCAGCCACGCCGCGUGCAGGAAGAAGGUCCUCUGGAUUGUAAACUGCUUUUCUUGGGGAAGAAAACCCUUCUGCGGUAGGAAUUGACGGUACUCAAGGAAUAAGCAUCGGCUAACUCCUUG
rnacentral:rRNA from 1 species